rnacentral:rRNA from 1 species
UACGGGAGGCAGCAGUGGGGAAUAUUGCACAAUGGGCGCAAGCCUGAUGCAGCCAUGCCGCGUGUAUGAAGAAGGCCUUCGGGUUGUAAAGUACUUUCAGCGGGGAGGAAGGCGAUGCGGUUAAUAACCGCGUCGAUUGACGUUACCCGCAGAAGAAGCACCGGCUAACUCCGUGCCAGCAGCCGCGGUAAUACGGAGGGUGCAAGCGUUAAUCGGAAUUACUGGGCGUAAAGCGCACGCAGGCGGUCUGUUAAGUCAGAUGUGAAAUCCCCGGGCUUAACCUGGGAACUGCAUUUUGAACUGGCAGGCUUGAGUCUUGUAGAGGGGGUAGAAUUCCAGGUGUAGCGGUGAAAUGCGUAGAGAUCUGGAGGAAUACCGGUGGCGAAGGCGGCCCCUGGACAAAGCUGACGCUCAGGUGCGAAAGCGUGGGGAGCAAACAGGGAUUAGGAUACCCGU